ACCCUCUUAAUGGAUUGAGGGCGAAGCGAAGCGGCUGGUUACCAGGCAAAUCCGGUAACCUUAAGGCUAGAGCGUGACAGGUAAGCGAAAUCUAAGGAAAGUAGCGAAGCACAUGAUGACGGCUUCCAGGAAAAGCUUCUGGCAAUGCAUAUGCGGCCCGUACCAAAACCGACACAGGUGGGCAGGGAGAGAAUCCCGAGGUGAGCGAGAGAACUGUUGCCAAGGAACUCGGCAAAAUGACUCCGUAAGUUAGCGAGAAGGAGUGCUUAAGCAAUUAAGCCGCAGUGAAGAGGCCCAAGCGACUGUUUAACUAAAACACAGCUCUCUGCGAAGUCGCAAGACGAAGUAUAGGGGGUGACACCUGCCCGGUGCUGGAAGGUUAAGAGGAUCUGUUAAGAGCGAUCUGAAGCAGUGAUCCGAAGCCCCAGUGAACGGCGGCCGUAACUAUAACGGUCCUAAGGUAGCGAAAUUCCUUGUCAGGUAAGUUCUGACCCGCACGAAAGGUGUAACGAUUUGGGCGCUGUCUCGGCAGCAGACUCGGUGAAAUCUUAGUACCUGUGAAAAUGCAGGUUACCCGCAACUAGACGGAAAGACCCCAUGGAGCUUUACUGCAGCCUGAUAUUGAAUUCUGGUCAUACAUGUACAGGAUAGGUGGGAGACAAAGAGACGUGCACGCCAGUGUACGAGGAGUCGACGUUGAGAUACCACUCUUGUGUGGCCGGGGUUCUAACCUGGUAUCGAGAACAGGUACGGGGAGAGUGUCAGGUGGGCAGUUUGACUGGGGCGGUCGCCUCCCAAAGAGUAACGGAGGCGCCCAAAGGUACGCUCAGAUUGGAUGGAAACCAAUCGACGAGUGCAAUUGCAGAAGCGUGCUUGACUGUGAGACAAACAAGUCGAACAGGGACGAAAGUCGGGAAUAGUGAUCCGGCGGUGCCGAAUGGAAGGGCCGUCGCUCAACGGAUAAAAAGCUACCCUGGGGAUAACAGGCUGAUCUCGCCCAAGAGUUCACAUCGACGGCGAGGUUUGGCACCUCGAUGUCGGCUCAUCGCAUCCUGGAGCUGGAUUCGGUUCCAAGGGUUGGGCUGUCCGCCCAUUAAAGCGGUACGCGAGCUGGGUUCAGAACGUCGUGAGACAGUUCGGUCCCUAUCUGUUGUGGGCGAAGGAGAUCUGCGGAGAGCUGUCCUCAGUACGAGAGGACCGGGAUGGACCUACCGCUGGUGCACCGGUUGUUCCGCCAGGGGCAUAGCCGGGUAGCUAAGUAGGGAAAGGAUAAGCGCUGAAAGCAUCUAAGCACGAAGCCUACUCCAAGAUGAGAUCUCCCAUUCGCAAGAAGUAAGACCCCUUAAAGACGAUAAGGUAGAUAGGCCAGGGAUGGAAGUGCAGUGAUGUACGGAGUUGACUGGUACUAAUCGGUCGAGGACUUAAUC
rnacentral:rRNA from 1 species